CUGUGAAUUGCGUCUUUAACGCUGCUGACGGACAGAAUUUAACAAAAUGUUCAGGGAACAGAUAAUGCUCAGCUUCUUUAUUGGGUUCAGCUGUAUCACUUUCCUGGUUUCAGGUUCCUCCCUAAGCGACAAGGUCCGACAGUACCCUGCAGAACUCUUCAAAUCCUCCACUGACACGAAAGCCAAGAUCAACUGUUCACACAGUAUUAACAACUACAACCGAAUCCUCUGGUACAAGCAAACCGACAGAGACCUGCAGCUCCUGGGGUGGAUGGUCGUAGGUGGUGAAACUCUAGAGAAAGGAGUAAAGGCAAAGAUUACCGGGAAUGCUAACAAAGACAGCGUCUGCACAUUCACAAUUACAGAACUGAGCCAGAACAGCAGCGCCGUUUACUUCUGUGCUGCUAGUCUGCACAGUGCUGGAUAAAUCUGAUUCUCAAUGCAAAAACCUCCAGAGUUAACAAUCUUCAAACUCUGUAUUACAGUUCAUAUCGUCGUGCACCUGCAUUCUCACCGACAUUGGCAUUUUCUCUGAUCUAAUCUAGGGUUGAAGUGGGAGGGUUUUUACUGCAGCGUAAUAACAUUAACCUUUCUAUUUUCCUCCUUGAACUAUUGCAAGUCAUAGAAUUAAAUUUUGAGCAUCUCUCCUCCAUGGCAGCAUAUGUCAUUUUUAUAUUAAUUCCUAGUUGUUGUGGCUACAAGAUUCAAGAGUCAAAACAUUUAAAUACAUUCGUAAUUAUUUAGAAAUCCAGUAAUUGGAGGUAAAAUUUUGACUCGGUAUUUCGCUCUAU